rnacentral:rRNA from 1 species
UGGAAACGGGUGGUAAUACCGGAUGCUCCGCUCCAUCGCAUGGUGGGGUGGGAAAUGCUUUUGCGGCAUGGGAUGGGGUCGCGUCCUAUCAGCUUGUUGGCGGGGUGAUGGCCCACCAAGGCGUUGACGGGUAGCCGGCCUGAGAGGGUGACCGGCCACAUUGGGACUGAGAUACGGCCCAGACUCCUACGGGAGGCAGCAGUGGGGAAUAUUGCACAAUGGGCGCAAGCCUGAUGCAGCGACGCCGCGUGCGGGAUGGAGGCCUUCGGGUUGUAAACCGCUUUUGUUCAAGGGCAAGGCACGGUUUCGGCCGUGUUGAGUGGAUUGUUCGAAUAAGCACCGGCUAACUACGUGCCAGCAGCCGCGGUAAUACGUAGGGUGCGAGCGUUAUCCGGAUUUAUUGGGCGUAAAGGGCUCGUAGGCGGUUCGUCGCGUCCGGUGUGAAAGUCCAUCGCCUAACGGUGGAUCUGCGCCGGGUACGGGCGGGCUGGAGUGCGGUAGGGGAGACUGGAAUUCCCGGUGUAACGGUGGAAUGUGUAGAUAUCGGGAAGAACACCAAUGGCGAAGGCAGGUCUCUGGGCCGUCACUGACGCUGAGGAGCGAAAGCGUGGGGAGCGAACAGGAUUAGAUACCCUGGUAGUCCACGCCGUAAACGGUGGAUGCUGGAUGUGGGGCCCUUUCCACGGGUCCCGUGUCGGAGCCAACGCGUUAAGCAUCCCGCCUGGGGAGUACGGCCGCAAGGCUAAAACUCAAAGAAAUUGACGGGGGCCCGCACAAGCGGCGGAGCAUGCGGAUUAAUUCGAUGCAACGCGAAGAACCUUACCUGGGCUUGACAUGUGCCGGAUCGCCGUGGAGACACGGUUUCCCUUCGGGGCCGGUUCACAGGUGGUGCAUGGUCGUCGUCAGCUCGUGUCGUGAGAUGUUGGGUUAAGUCCCGCAACGAGCGCAACCCUCGCCGCAUGUUGCCAGCGGGUGAUGCCGGGAACUCAUGUGGGACCGCCGGGGUCAACUCGGAGGAAGGUGGGGAUGACGUCAGAUCAUCAUGCCCCUUACGUCCAGGGCUUCACGCAUGCUACAAUGGCCGGUACAACGCGGUGCGACACGGUGACGUGGGGCGGAUCGCUGAAAACCGGUCUCAGUUCGGAUCGCAGUCUGCAACUCGACUGCGUGA